UGGGCCGACUCUCAAAACUAUCCUGUGUGGUUUCAGAACCGAAGAGCCAAGUUCCGCAGGAAUGAGAGAGCCAUGCUAGCCAAUAAAAAUGCUUCCCUCCUCAAAUCCUACUCAGGAGACGUGACUGCUGUGGAGCAGCCCAUCGUACCUCGUCCUGCUCCGAGACCCACCGAUUAUCUCUCCUGGGGGACAGCGUCUCCGUACAGAUCCUCGUCCCUCCCAAGAUGUUGUUUACACGAGGGGCUUCAUAACGGAUUCUAACGGAAGACACUGAAAAGCGCCAUGGCUACUUAUUCUGCCACAUGUGCCAACAAUAGCCCUGCACAGGGCAUCAACAUGGCCAACAGCAUUGCCAACCUGAGACUGAAGGCCAAGGAAUAUAGUUUACAGAGGAACCAGGUGCCAACAGUCAACUGAGGAAAAAAAAUAAUUAAACAGGCCUAAGAAGAAAUCAAAAACCAUAA
rnacentral:sRNA from 1 species